rnacentral:tRNA from 1 species
GGGGGUAUAGCCCAGUGGUAGAGUGCAUGCCUAGCAUGUCCAGGGUCCUGGGUUCAAUCCCCAGUGCCUAUA